UUUGAUCCUGGCUCAGGACGAACGCUGGCGGCGUGCCUAAUACAUGCAAGUCGAGCGGACGGAUGGGAGCUUGCUCCCUGAAGUCAGCGGCGGACGGGUGAGUAACACGUGGGCAACCUGCCUGUAAGACUGGGAUAACUUCGGGAAACCGGAGCUAAUACCGGAUACGUUCUUCUCUCGCAUGAGAGAAGAUGGAAAGAUGGUUUUGGCUAUCACUUACAGAUGGGCCCGCGGCGCAUUAGCUAGUUGGUGGGGUAAUGGCCCACCAAGGCGACGAUGCGUAGCCGACCUGAGAGGGUGAUCGGCCACACUGGGACUGAGACACGGCCCAGACUCCUACGGGAGGCAGCAGUAGGGAAUCUUCCGCAAUGGACGAAAGUCUGACGGAGCAACGCCGCGUGAACGAUGAAGGCUUUCGGGUCGUAAAGUUCUGUUGUUAGGGAAGAACAAGUACCAGAGUAACUGCUGGUACCUUGACGGUACCUAACCAGAAAGCCACGGCUAACUACGUG
rnacentral:rRNA from 1 species